AUCGAAUUCCGGUGAUGCGAGUUGUUCUCCGUCUAUAAAUACGCCUCGCCCGAGCUGUGCGGCAGGCAGUGAGGCAGCCAGCGCAGGGGCUUCUGCUGAGGGCGCAGGCGGAGCUUGAGGAAACCGCAGAUAAGUUUUUUUCACUUUGAAAGAUAGAGAUUAAUACAACUACUUAAAAAAUAUAGUCAAUAGGUUACUAAGAUAUUGCUUAGCGUUAAGCUUUUAACGUAAUUUUAAUAGCUUAAGAUUUUAAGAGAAAAUAUGAAGACUUAGAAGAGUAGCAUGACGAAGGAAAAGAUAAAAGAUUUCUAAAACAUGACGGAGGUUGAGAUGAAGCUUCUUCAUGGAGUAAAAAAUGUAUUUAAAAGAAAAUUGAGAGAAAGGACUACAGAGCCCUGAAUUAAUACCAAUAGAAGGGCAAUGCUUUUAGAUUAAAAUGAAGGUGACUUAAACAGCUUAAAGUUUACUUUAAAAGUUGUAGGUGAUUAAAAUAAUUUGAAGGCGAUCUUUUAAAAAGAGAUUAAACCGAAGGUGAUUAAAAGACCUUGAAAUCCAUGACGCAGGGAGAAUUGCGUCAUUUAAAGCCUAGUUAACGCAUUUAAACGCAGACGAAAAUGGAAAGAUUAGUUGGGAGUGGUAGGAUGAAACGAUUUGGAGAAGAUAGAAGUUUGAAGUGGAAAACUGGAAGACAGAAGUACAGGAAGGCGGAGAAAAGAAUAGAGAAGAUAGGGAAAUUAGAAGAUAAAAACAUACUUUUAGAAGAAAAAAGAUAAAUUUAAACCUGAAAAGUAGGAAGCAGAAGAAAAAAGACAAGCUAGGAAACAAAAAACUAAGGGCAAAAUGUACAAACUUAGAAGAAAAUUGGAAGAUAGAAACAAGAUAGAAAAUGAAAAUAUUGUCAAGAGUUUCAGAUAGAAAAUGAAAAACAAGCUAAGACAAGUAUUGGAGAAGUAUAGAAGAUAGAAAAAUAUAAAGCCAAAAAUUGGAUAAAAUAGCACUGAAAAAGUGAGGAAAUUAUUGGUAACCAAUUUAUUUUAAAAGCCCAUCAAUUUAAUUUCUGGUGGUGCAGAAGUUAGAAGGUAAAGCUUGAGAAGAUGAGGGUGUUUACGUAGACCAGAACCAAUUUAGAAGAAUACUUGAAGCUAGAAGGGGAAGUUGGUUAAAAAUCACAUCAAAAAAGGACUGGUGUAAUUUAAAAAAAAACUAAGGCAGAAGGCUUUUGGAAGAGUUAGAAGAAUUUGGAAGGCCUUAAAUAUAGUAGCUUAGUUUGAAAAAUGUGAAGGACUUUCGUAACGGAAGUAAUUCAAGAUCAAGAGUAAUUACCAACUUAAUGUUUUUGCAUUGGACUUUGAGUUAAGAUUAUUUUUUAAAUCCUGAGGACUAGCAUUAAUUGACAGCUGACCCAGGUGCUACACAGAAGUGGAUUCAGUGAAUCUAGGAAGACAGCAGCAGACAGGAUUCCGGGAACCAGUGUUUGAUGAAGCUAGGACUGAGGAGCAAGCGAGCAAGCAGCAGUUCGUGGUGAAGAUAGGAAAAGAGUCCAGGAGCCAGUGCGAUUUGGUGAAGGAAGCUAGGAAGAAGGAAGGAGCGCUAACGAUUUGGUGGUGAAGCUAGGAAAAAGGAUUCCAGAAAGGAGCGAGUGCGAUUUGGUGAUGAAGCUAGCAGGCGGCUUGGCUUGGCAACCACACGGAGGAGGCGAGCAGGCGUUGUGCGUAGAUAGAGGAUCCUAGACCAGCAUGCCAGUGUGCCAAGGCCACAGGGAAAACGAGUGGUUGGUAAAAAUCCGUGAGGUCGGCAAUAUGUUGUUUUUCUGGAACUUAUGGUAACCUUUUAUUUAUUUUCUAAUAUAAUGGGGGAGUUUCGUACUGAGGUGUAAAGGGAUUUAUAUGGGGAACGUAGGCCGAUUUCCGGGUGUUGUAGGUUUCUCUUUUUCAGGCUUAUACUCAUGAAUCUUGUCUGAAGCUUUUGAGGGCAGACUGCCAAGUCCUGGAGAAAUAGUAGAUGGCAAGUUUGUGGGUUUUUUUUUUUUUUUUUUUUUUUUUUACGAAUUUGAGGAAAACCAAAUGAAUUUGAUAGCCAAAUUGAGACAAUUUCAGCAAAUCUGUAAGCAGUUUGUAUGUUUAGUUGGGGUAAAUGAAGUAUUUCAGUUUUGUGAAUAGAUGACCUGUUUUUACUUCCUCACCCUGAAUUCGUUUUGUAAAUGUAGAGUUUGGAUGUGUAACUGAGGCGGGGGGGAGUUUUCAGUAUUUUUUUUUUGUGGGGGUGGGGGCAAAAUAUGUUUUCAGUUCUUUUUCCCUUAGGUCUGUCUAGAAUCCUAAAGGCAAAUGACUCAAGGUGUAACAGAAAACAAGAAAAUCCAAUAUCAGGAUAAUCAGACCACCACAGGUUUACAGUUUAUAGAAACUAGAGCAGUUCUCACGUUGAGGUCUGUGGAAGAGAUGUCCAUUGGAGAAAUGGCUGGUAGUUACUCUUUUUUCCCCCCACCCCCUUAAUCAGACUUUAAAAGUGCUUAACCCCUUAAACUUGUUAUUUUUUACUUGAAGCAUUUUGGGAUGGUCUUAACAGGGAAGAGAGAGGGUGGGGGAGAAAAUGUUUUUUUCUAAGAUUUUCCACAGAUGCUAUAGUACUAUUGACAAACUGGGUUAGAGAAGGAGUGUACCGCUGUGCUGUUGGCACGAACACCUUCAGGGACUGGAGCUGCUUUUAUCCUUGGAAGAGUAUUUCCAGUUGAAGCUGAAAAGUACAGCACAGUGCAGCUUUGGUUCAUAUUCAGUCAUCUCAGGAGAACUUCAGAAGAGCUUGAGUAGGCCAAAUGUUGAAGUUAAGUUUUCCAAUAAUGUGACUUCUUAAAAGUUUUAUUAAAGGGGAGGGGCAAAUAUUGGCAAUUAGUUGGCAGUGGCCUGUUACGGUUGGGAUUGGUGGGGUGGGUUUAGGUAAUUGUUUAGUUUAUGAUUGCAGAUAAACUCAUGCCAGAGAACUUAAAGUCUUAGAAUGGAAAAAGUAAAGAAAUAUCAACUUCCAAGUUGGCAAGUAACUCCCAAUGAUUUAGUUUUUUUCCCCCCAGUUUGAAUUGGGAAGCUGGGGGAAGUUAAAUAUGAGCCACUGGGUGUACCAGUGCAUUAAUUUGGGCAAGGAAAGUGUCAUAAUUUGAUACUGUAUCUGUUUUCCUUCAAAGUAUAGAGCUUUUGGGGAAGGAAAGUAUUGAACUGGGGGUUGGUCUGGCCUACUGGGCUGACAUUAAUUACAAUUAUGGGAAAUGCAAAAGUUGUUUGGAUAUGGUAGUGUGUGGUUCUCUUUUGGAAUUUUUUUCAGGUGAUUUAAUAAUAAUUUAAAACUACUAUAGAAACUUCAGAGCAAAGGAAGUGGCUUAAUGAUCCUGAAGGGAUUUCUUCUGAUGGUAGCUUUUGUAUUAUCAAGUAAGAUUCUAUUUUCAGUUGUGUGUAAGCAAGUUUUUUUUUUAGCGUAGGAGAAAUACUUUUCCAUUGUUUAACUGCAAAACAAGAUGUUAAGGUAUGCUUCAAAAAUUUUGUAAAUUGUUUAUUUUAAAUUUAUCUGUUUGUAAAUUGUAACUGAUUAAGAAUUGUGAUAGUUCAGCUUGAAUGUCUCUUAGAGGGUGGGCUUUUGUUGAUGAGGGAGGGGAAACUUUUUUUUUUCUAUAGACUUUUUUCAGAUAACAUCUUCUGAGUCAUAACCAGCCUGGCAGUAUGAUGGCCUAGAUGCAGAGAAAACAGCUCCUUGGUGAAUUGAUAAGUAAAGGCAGAAAAGAUUAUAUGUCAUACCUCCAUUGGGGAAUAAGCAUAACCCUGAGAUUCUUACUACUGAUGAGAACAUUAUCUGCAUAUGCCAAAAAAUUUUAAGCAAAUGAAAGCUACCAAUUUAAAGUUACGGAAUCUACCAUUUUAAAGUUAAUUGCUUGUCAAGCUAUAACCACAAAAAUAAUGAAUUGAUGAGAAAUACAAUGAAGAGCCAAUGUCCAUCUCAAAAUACUGCUUUUACAAAAGCAGAAUAAAAGCGAAAUGAAAUGAAAAUGUUAUACUACAUUAAUCCUGGAAUAAAAGAAGCCGAAAUAAAUGAGAGAUGAGUUGGGAUCAAGUGGAUUGAGGAGGCUGUGCUGUGUGCCAAUGUUUCGUUUGCCUCAGACAGGUAUCUCUUCGUUAUCAGAAGAGUUGCUUCAUUUCAUCUGGGAGCAGAAAACAGCAGGCAGCUGUUAACAGAUAAGUUUAACUUGCAUCUGCAGUAUUGCAUGUUAGGGAUAAGUGCUUAUUUUUAAGAGGUGUGGAGUUCUUAAAUAUCAACCAUGGCACUUUCUCCUGACCCCUUCCCUAGGGGAUUUCAGGAUUGAGAAAUUUUUCCAUCGAGCCUCUUUAAAAUUGUAGGACUUGUUCCUGUGGGCUUCAAUGAUGGGAUAGUACACUUCACUCAGAGGCAUUUGCAUCUUUAAAUAAUUUCUUAAAAGCCUCUAAAGUGAUCAGUGCCUUGAUGCCAACUAAGGAAAUUUGUUUAGCAUUGAAUCUCUGAAGGCUCUAUGAAAGGAAUAGCAUGAUGUGCUGUUAGAAUCAGAUGUUAUUGCUAAAAUUUACAUGUUGUGUUGUGAUGUAAAUUGUGUAGAAAACCAUUAAAUCAUUCAAAAUAAUAAACUAUUUUUAUUAGAGAAUGUAUACUUUUAGAAAGCUGUCUCCUUAUUUAAAUACAAUACUGUUUGUCUGUAGUUUAGUGUUGGGGCAAUCUUGGGGGGGAUUCUUCUCUAAUCUUUCAGAAACUUUGUCUGCGAACACUCUUUAAUGGACCAGAUCAGGAUUUGAGCGGAAGAACGAAUGUAACUUUAAGGCAGGAAAGACAAAUUUUAUUCUUCAUAAAGUGAUGAGCAUAUAAUAAUUCCAGGCACAUGGCAAUAGAGGCCCUCUAAAUAAGGAAUAAAUAACCUCUUAGACAGGUGGGAGAUUAUGAUCAGAGUAAAAGGUAAUUACACAUUUUAUUUCCAGAAAGUCAGGGGUCUAUAAAUUGACAGUGAUUAGAGUAAUACUUUUUCACAUUUCCAAAGUUUGCAUGUUAACUUUAAAUGCUUACAAUCUUAGAGUGGUAGGCAAUGUUUUACAUUAUUGACCUUAUAUAGGGAAGGGAGGGGGUGCCUGUGGGUUUUUAAAGAAUUUUCCUUUGCAGAGGCAUUUCAUCCUUCAUGAAGCUGUUCAGGAUUUUGAAUUGCAUAUGAGUGCUUGGCUCUUCCUUCUGUUCUCCUAACUUCACAGAGAAUGCAGUUGUCUUGACUUCAGGUCUGUCUGUUCUGUUGGCAAGUAAAUGCAGUACUGUUCUGAUCCCGCUGCUAUUAGAAUGCAUUGUGAAACGACUGGAGUAUGAUUAAAAGUUGUGUUCCCCAAUGCUUGGAGUAGUGAUUGUUGAAGGAAAAAAUCCAGCUGAGUGAUAAAGGCUGAGUGUUGAGGAAAUUUCUGCAGUUUUAAGCAGUCGUAUUUGUGAUUGAAGCUGAGUACAUUUUGCUGGUGUAUUUUUAGGUAAAAUGCUUUUUGUUCAUUUCUGGUGCUGGGAGGGGACUGAAGCCUUUAGUCUUUUCCAGAUGCAACCUUAAAAUCAGUGACAAGAAACAAAUUCCAAACAAGCAACAGUCUUCAAGAAAUUAAACUGGCAAGUGGAAAUGUUUAAACAGUUCAGUGAUCUUUAGUGCAUUGUUUUUGUGUGGGUUUCUCUCUCCCCUCCCUUGGUCUUAAUUCUUACAUGCAGGAACACUCAGCAGACACACGUAUGCGAAGGGCCAGAGAAGCCAGACCCAGUAAGAAAAAAUAGCCUAUUUACUUUAAAUAAACCAAACAUUCCAUUUUAAAUGUGGGGAUUGGGAACCACUAGUUCUUUCAGAUGGUAUUCUUCAGACUAUAGAAGGAGCUUCCAGUUGAAUUCACCAGUGGACAAAAUGAGGAAAACAGGUGAACAAGCUUUUUCUGUAUUUACAUACAAAGUCAGAUCAGUUAUGGGACAAUAGUAUGA
rnacentral:lncRNA from 1 species